UGGCUGCAUGAAUGUCUUCCUUUGAUAAGUGUCUGUUCAUAUCUUUUGCCCGCUUUUUGAUGGAAGACAGUGUGGCCAUUCCUCAAGGAUCUAGAGCCAGAAAUGAAAUACCAUUUGGCCCAGCAGUCCCAUCAUGGGGUAUAUACCCAAAGGAAUAGAAAUCAUUCUACUAGGAAAACACAUCCAAACCCAUGUUUAUUGCAGCACUGUUUACAAUAGCAAAGACAUGGAACCAACCCAAUGCUCAUCAGUGAGAGACUGUAUAAAGAAAAUGUGCCACAUAUACACCAUGGAAUACUAUGCAGCCAUAAAAAGGAAUGCGAUCAUAUCCUUUGCAGGAACGUGGAUGAAGCUGGAAGCCAUCAUCCUCAGCAAACUAAUACAGGAACAGAAAACCAAACAGGACAUGUUCUCACUCAUAAGUCGGAGUUGAACAAUGAGAACACUUGGAUACGUGGAGGGGAAUAACACACACUGGGGCCGGUUGAGGAGUUGGGGGCGAGGGGAGGGAGAGCAUUAGCACAAAUAGCUAAUGCAUGCGGAGCUUAAAACGUAGAUGGCAGGUUGAUAGGUGCAGCAAACCAUGGCACACGUAUACCUACGUAGCAAAGCUGCACAUUCUGCACUUAUAUCCUGGAACUUAAAGUAAAAUUAAAAAAAAAAUCUAUAGAAAAAAGUUAAGCAUUUU
ensembl:lncRNA novel transcript, sense intronic SLC7A2